CAAUUACGUAACUUGACAGCUGUGCUUUGAAGAAGAGUGAGAAGUUGAAAACAUUUCAGAAUUUACCUCCCGAUAACUGAACCGCUCAGGGUUCUGAAACUGUGUCAUGUAGAAGAACUAUUACUUUCCCGCAGCUGGUUUUAUUCACAGACAGACAGCAGCGGAAACACGACACCCAGGGACGGCUACAUUUCAAAGCAACAUUUGUAGACUUUGCUUUGUUGUGAAACUUUGUGAGGGCUGUUUGUGCGCAUGCAUUCUGUGAUGUGAUUUCUUUAACACUCAUGGAGUAGUUAGACACCAAAGGAAGACAUGAAAAGCUGACUGGUGUUUUUGUCAGACUUUAAGGACUGACUGGUUCUCGACUUGUUAAGCACAACGAUGCCCCCAUCGCUGACAGGGACUCUGCUGGUCGCGCUUUGGGUCGUCCUGGUUCGGUGCGGUGUGUCAGAGUCCCAGGGGCCACAAUGCGACAAUGGAAAGCUGUCUCUGGAUAAGGACCUCCCUGAGAGUGCGCUUUAUUUGGACUGUCCGGGUACGCCUUGGCUGGAGCCCAGUCAGCGACCUCCCCGUAUCAUUGACAGAUGGUAUGAUCCUGAGCCAGCCAGGCAGAUAUGCAUGGAUAAAUCUAUUUCCUACAAACAUACUAUUCCAAACAGUGGAGCGUUCAGACCAGUAAGGGCAGAGAGUGGAGAGUACUUGUAUUGUCCUCCUCAACGCUGGCUCAAUAACUUAAACCAUGCAGCUAUUGUUUUGCUCUACCAUCCCUGUGCUCCUCUACGCGAACGUCUACUUCUGUCUGCCCUGGCUCGAUCCUGUCUGCCAGACUACAUCAUCACUCCACACAAACAGCUGAAUACACACACACCAAUAGUCUUGGUAUCCUGGGGUCGCACUUUGGAGCUUUCAACCAUGGCCACUUUAGACGUCUGUGAUUGGCUGGAGACAAUAUCAUCCACAAGAAAUGAGUCUGGUGAUUCAAGCAAGAGCAGAAACUACAACUUGUUGUUAACCUUGUCAGCUGAGGCCGACAGAAGGGGACAUGCACAUCCAGAGGAAGACCCAGCAAAAAUGAAGGAGCCUCUGAGGCGAUGCUGUGAGCAGACCAUCUUCUCUUUGCCGAAUGGAGCUGUUGAACCAGAGGAACAGUCACACAUGAAGAAGGAAAGCUUGAAACACUUGAAAGAGAAAGGCAGAAUCCGGCACGUAAGAUCUAGCAUGAGAGGAAAACAAAGGAGUAAUAUGGAUGAGGACACGAAAGAAAACAGAACUCAUGUUUCCAGGUUUUUGUCCAACCAAACCAACAAAACCCUGUUUAAUAGAACAGGGGAUGCCCGGAACUACAAUUUCACACUUGGAUCACCAACAGAUUUGCCUUCAGAGAACAGGACUCUCUCAGGACAAAAAACAGUAUGGCAGCUCAGUCUUAAGAAUGCUAGUCGACAAAAACUUUCAAUAGGAUUUGGUUCCCUUGAAGAUAGUGUGAACAGUGAACAUAAACAUACUGCUACACCUGCCAUGCAUUCGAAAAAUGAAGGUACCUACUCCACCAAAUUAAGACAUAAAGACUCUGCCAACCACCCCAUGGAAUACAAUGGCAACCAAGAGAAAAACUCUGAUCAAAAGAACACAGAAGGUGACACAGUGGAUUAUAAAGUUGGAGAUAUUAAAGAGAGAGAGUUGAAGCAGCGACACACACACAGUGCCACAAACUCACACAACAAAAGCGAGAGCAAAGUCAAUGCUGCUGUUGUAAAUAAGGGGUCGUCGAGGAUCCAGAGGAAUGAUGAGGCAUUGUGGGCCGCGGCAGCACUCGGCUUCCUGCUGGUUCUCUUGACCCUGUCAGUGCUCCACACACGCCUGUAUCGUCACUGGAGGACAUCGCCAAGUCUUUACUGGCAUGACCCACAACAGGAGUAUGACAGCGUGGCAGAUGUAAUCCGCAGGAGGAUACGAAUCGCAAAGAGGAGGCUGAAAAGGGGCAGACGAAAGGAGUGUGUUUUUAUUCCAAGCUCCUCCAGCUCAGAUGAACACCCAUGAAUAAAUGAAGGAAACAUUUGCACAAAUGUCAAUAAUGCAUGCAAGUCCCCCGGCAAGUGGAAGAGGUUGGCGACCUGUCCAGGGUGUACCCUGCCUUCUGCCUGAAGUCAGCUGGGAUUGGCUCCAUCCCCCCGUGACCCCGAAACGGGAUACGCGGUCAAGAUAUUGGAUGGAUGGAUGGAUGAACAAGCAUUGUCUUAGGAACAAUUUUAUUACAAAACUACUGUCCAAAAAUACACUCUUCAGAGAAUAUUGCAAAAGGAGCUGGUGUGUCUAAACAGUCUUUUAACCCUUUUAAACUUUGACCCUAUGAAUACCAAAUCAAUCAGUCCACCAGUUAAUCAGUAAUUCAAUCAAUCAAUUUCUAUUUCUCUUUACAAACAGAAUAGAGGAAAACUAUACUCUUUGUUGUAUUAUUUAAAGUAAUUAAUCCAUCAUGAGCAAACAACUUGCCACAGUUGGAAAGUAACAAUUGCCAGGAAAUACUUCCUUUUAAUGGGCAUAAACCUUGGGCAGACCAGACACGUGAUAAACAGCCAUUUGCAGGAACAGCAAAGUAGGAUAAUUGACCGAUCGGUCUAAUGUUAACAUUAAAAACCAUAAUGACAAUAAUAUGGGAGGAGUUCAAAUGUUUAUCAUAGCAACAUGAAUCAGUCCAAAGACAAGCCUGCAGAGUGCAUUGAGUAAGCUGCAUAUUUUCUACAUGCAUACAACUUUGUCUCUACUGUUUUUAUCAUACCCUUCUAAAAAUGACAGUGUGUAUUAGAAUUUGCUUACUCUGUGUUUUAAGAUCAAUGUUAAGCCUUGUGGCCUUGUGAAGUUUGGUACCCAAGUAUUGUUUUUACUGCUACAUUUUAUGACUUUGUUUAUUUUGAAGCAGUUUAAUUUUAAAUGUAAAAGUUUAAAAUGUGGAUAUGUAAGUUGCUGUUCUAAGCAACACUGUAUGGGAUGUUUUUUAUUAUUCUGAAGUUUGUAAAUGUGAUUUGCAACAUUUGGAUGUUUUUUUUUAACAAAACUUUAUAUCAGUACAUGGAUUGAUGUUUGGAACAGCUAUUGUGGAUGUUGACACAUUUGAGCGACUGAUAACUUGAUUUUUUUUAAAGCUGGUACUGAAUAGGGCUGAAUGAAAACUAAGCAUUUUUCAUAAGAAUAAAAACAUCAUAACACAAAA